rnacentral:rRNA from 1 species
AAAAAAUUAAGUAGCUUCUAGGUCAAAGCAUGCCUCAAUACGAUUACCCCUUUCUUUUCUUCCACUUAGUCCACUUCCAUUAAUUGGCCAUGAGAUUUGACCAGGUUUGUUGUUCCAAUCAAUGCAUCGACUCUCUCUUGCUCACCUUUCAAUUGAAUAAAAAACAUUGACAGACAUGUUUUCACAUGAACUCACGCCCAUGUUGGGAAUCUUCAAAGGUGCGCCUUUAUUAUUGAGGGGAUUUCACGUCGAACGAGGGGUUUCAGGUAUCCAAAACGUAUCGCAGAAGUAUCCUAGGAGUAUCAAACAUUAUUUUCUUUUUUUAAUAUCAAAAUAUCGAGGGAUACUUACGGGAUACGUAUCGGGAAGUAUCGGGGCAGUAUCCAAGUAUCGGUGCAGUAUCC